AACGAACGCUGGCGGCGUGCCUAACACAUGCAAGUCGAGCGAGAAAGGGGGAGCAAUCCCCGAGUAAAGCGGCAGACGGGUGAGUAACGACGUGGGUAAUCUGCCCUCGGGCGGGGAAUAACAUCGUCGAAAGAGGUGCUAAUACCGCAUAACAUCCAUGGACCUGUGGGUUCGUGGAUCAAAGGUGGGGAUCUUCGGACCUACCACUCGAGGAGGAGCCCG
rnacentral:rRNA from 1 species